rnacentral:rRNA from 1 species
GACGUAGGUGGCAAGCGUUGUUCGGAAUCACUGGGCAUAAAGCGCGCGUAGGCGGCUGGGUCAGUCGGGUGUGAAAGCCCUCAGCUCAACUGAGGAACGGCGCCCGAUACUGCCCGGCUUGAGGACCGGAGGGGAGAGUGGAAUUCCCGGUGGAGCGGUGAAAUGCGUAGAGAUCGGGAAGAACGCCGGCGGCGAAAGCGACUCUCUGGUCGGUCCCUGACGCUGAGGCGCGAAAGCUAGGGGAGCAAAC